UCUGUCGUUGUGAGCAUUUUUUUUAUUUUUUAUUUUUGCUUAACAAAAUUUCUUAUCAAAAGAUAAUAAUAAAAAACACCACUAAAGGGAGUUUUGUAUGUACUUUGUGCUCUACUACUACAUAAAGCAUCUUAGUUUGUUUAGUGUUUUACAUUAAAUUAUACUUAGCGAAUUCGUUCAAAAAAGAUCUCAUCUUCUGUCCCUGAACCAUUGAUCUGCAGGCAAAUGGUUCCCAUUACUAUAACAUAUAUAUAAUUCUUAGAAAACAUACUAAACAAAAUUUCAAGAAGAAAAUUACAAAUUGAAUAAACGGAAGAGACCAUAGAUGCACUCAAGCACAACAAAUGAUUAAAAAUAGCCUAAGACUUUUGAAUAGAAAAUUUGAUAAAAAAAAUUACACCUGAUAGCAAUCAAUAUUAGACAUAAUAUUCUCAAAAGUGUUGAGCGUUAUAAUUCUCAGCUAUAGGAUGACACAAUACCUUAUAAAAUAUUACUUUAUAAUAGGAAGAUUCAAAGAUCUAAACACUUUAACGCGCUCCUUGACUGUAUUAAUGUUAUCAUCAACCCGUCGUUUUGCCGCUUCUGGUAUGUGCUACCCAAUACAUCAUUUCUGACGGGGAUUUGGGGAGUGCAGGGUGUUGGCAUUUUCAUGCACAGUUAUACCUGUAAUUAAUUAAUAAUAUCAACAUAUAUACAGAAAAUGAGACAUAUGUCAAGUUUAAGCCAAAUUAAAUUGAGAAACAAAUUAAAUAUAAACACCACAUAAAAAUACAAUAUCAUAUCUUCCAAAGAUUUAAGUUGUCUAUUCUGAUGGUCCUUUUUUGGAUUUGCUUCCUUGGAAUGAAGUUCUUCAUCCCUAUGAAAUAAAGUAAUUCACAAAAGAGUGCAAGACAAAUAUAUCAGAAGAUAUGGGGCUAACAAAUAUAAAUAGCAAGACUCCAAGAAUUUGAUAUUAUUGGGAAAGUCUUUAUCAAAUAAAAGAAUUUGAAUAGCACUUACCUCCUCACGUGCACUUUAUUUGAGGGCUAAAAUAGAAGUUACAUAUCCUUGUUAGAUUCACUUUUGAAAUUAAUUCUUAUCAUAUAUCACCUUUAUAACUGCAUUGUAACUCCUCUUUCUAUAACACACUUCAAACCAAAACACAUUAGUUAUAUACACCAUUAUAGCCAAUAAAUCUGGUCAGAACCUAGUAAAAAAUUGUUAAAUGUCAUUAUAAUUUUACUCGACUAAAAUUGAAUAGAAUUACAUUCUAUGUAACCCAAACCAUUAGCCCCUUUCAACGACUCGCUACUAAAAGGUUAGAACCACUUUGAGACAUAUUUAAAAAACAUAUAUUGACAAUUGAAACCUCUAAAAGAGAAAAAAACUUUUCCUAAAUGUAGAAUUUCAACUCACAUACAACUAAUCACAUACACACUCGAUCCGGUUUCAUAUCAAUCAAUUAUUGCAUCAAAAACUGAGCUUCAAUUUCAUAACUUCUCAAAAAAUGAGAAAAUUUUAAACCACACGUACUAUAAACAAAGAAAGGGAGAAAACCUUAAAUCCAAAGAAAGAAAAGCGCCAAAUCGUUCGAAUUCUAAAAAGAGGAAAAAUUACCAUAUUUUAAAGAGGUAGUUGAGAUGAAAAAGAUACACGAAUAAAAGGAAUAUUUAGUUAACAUUAUAUAUAGAAAGAUUCAUAUAUUUUGUUAUUUUUAAAAAAAAUAAAAAAUUAUGCACCCCUUAUUCGGCUUAUCACUCCAUUCAAAGAAGGAACCUCGUGGUGGUGAAACAAAUUCUUUACAAAAACAUUAAAAAAAAUAAUCAAACAUUAGUAAAUUAAGAAAUUAAUACUAAUAUCUAAUAAGGUGUGAUUAAUUAACGUUGUAUUCAUCAUAAUAACAUAUUUAAUACACAAUUGCUUAAAUGAUUGAAGAAGAAUGAACCAAAGACUUAAAUGAUUAGAAAUUAGUAGCCUCCAU
rnacentral:lncRNA from 1 species